rnacentral:rRNA from 1 species
GUAGGGAAUAUUGCGCAAUGGACGAAAGUCUGACGCAGCGACGCCGCGUGAGUGAUGAAGGCCUUAGGGUCGUAAAGCUCUGUUGAAUGGGAAGAAAAAAAUGACGGUACCAUUCGAGGAAGGACCGGCUAACUUCGUGCCAGCAGCCGCGGUAAUACGAGGGGUCCUAGCGUUGUUCGGAAUCAUUGGGCGUAAAGGGUGUGUAGGUGGCCAUGUAAGUAAGGUGUGAAAGCCCCGGGCUCAACCCGGGAAGUGCACUUGAUACUGCGUGGCUUGAGUACCGAAGAGGGUAGUGGAAUUCCAGGUGUAGUGGUGAAAUACGUAGAUAUCUGGAGGAACACCGGUGGCGAAGGCGGCUACCUGUCGAGUACUGACACUGAGACACGAAAGCAUGGGGAUCAAACAGGAUUAGAAACCCUUGUAGUCC